rnacentral:miRNA from 1 species
UUCGCCGCGCAGCCUGCUGGGA